rnacentral:rRNA from 1 species
AUUGAACGCUGGCGGCAUGCCUUACACAUGCAAGUCGAACGGCAGCGGGGGAGAAGCUUGCUUUUCCUGCCGGCGAGUGGCGAACGGGUGAGUAAUACAUCGGAACGUGCCCUGUAGUGGGGGAUAACUAGUCGAAAGAUUAGCUAAUACCGCAUACGACCUGAGGGUGAAAGUGGGGGACCGCAAGGCCUCAUGCUAUAGGAACGGCCGAAGUCUGAUUAGCUAGUUGGUGGGGUAAAGGCCUACCAAGGCGACGAUCAGUAGCUGGUCUGAGAGGACGAUCAGCCACACUGGGACUGAGACACGGCCCAGACUCAUACGGGAGGCAGCAGUGGGGAAUUUUGGACAAUGGGCGAAAGCCUGAUCCAGCAAUGCCGCGUGUGUGAAGAAGGCCUUCGGGUUGUAAAGCACUUUUGUCCGGAAAGAAAUGGCUCUGGUUAAUACCUGGGGUCGAUGACGGUACCGGAAGAAUAAGGACCGGCUAACUACGUGCCAGCCGCCGCAGUAA